rnacentral:tRNA from 1 species
GGAAGGGUAGCUCAGUGGUAGAGCACCGUCACGCCGGCGUACGAUACCGUCGGCGGUGUGGCGUCAAGGCUUCGCGUGGUUCAAAUCCCGCCCCUUCCG